GACAGAGGAUGCAAGCGUUAUCCGGAAUGAUUGGGCGUAAAGCGUCUGUAGGUGGCUUUUAAGUCCGCCGUCAAAUCCCAGGGCCCAACCCUGGACAGGCGGUGGAAACUACCAAGCUGGAGUACGGAUAGGGGCAGAGGGAAUUUCCGGUGGAGCGGUGAAAGUGCGUAGAGAUCGGAAAGAACACCAACGGCGAAAGCACUCUGCUGGGCCGACACUGACACUGAGAGACGAAAGCUAGGGGAGCGAAUGGG
rnacentral:rRNA from 1 species